AGCAGCCGCGGUAAUUCCAGCUCCAAUAGCGUAUAUUAAAGUUGUUGCAGUUAAAAAGCUCGUAGUUGAAUUUCGAGAUCAAAUUGUUGGUCGUGCCUUGGUACGCACUGGCAUUAUUGGUUUCUCCCUUCUGACGAAUCAUGAUGUCAUUAAUUUGGUGUCUUGGGGAAUCAGGACUGUUACUUUGAAAAAAUUAGAGUGUUUAAAGCAGGCUCACGCUUGAACACAUUAGCAUGGAAUAAUGAAAUAGGACGUUUGAUUCUAUUUUGUUGGUUUCUAGGAUCGACGUAAUGAUUAAUAGGGAUAGUUGGGGGCAUUAGUAUUCAAUUGUCAGAGGUGAAAUUCUUGGAUUUAUUGAAGACUAACUACCGCGAAAGCAUUUGCCAAGGAUGUUUUCAUUAAUCAAGAACGAAAGUUAGGGGAUCGAAGACGAUCAGAUACCGUCGUAGUCUUAACCAUAAACUAUGCCGACUAGGGAUCGGAUGAUGUUAAUUUAAUGACUCA
rnacentral:rRNA from 1 species